rnacentral:lncRNA from 1 species
GCAUAAAAAAAUCUAAAUCAAUGUUGAAUCUCUCUUUCUAAAAACUUCAGUAAAAAAAAUCCUAUUUGAUUCCAAAACCUUCAUCCCAAUCUUCUUCCAAUACCUGCCUUAGACUAUUAUAUAGUUAGAUAUCUAUCCUAAAAGAUAAUAUUUUCAAAUAAUCCAUUCAAGCCAACAACGUCUUAUUUCAAAUUCCAUUCAAAUUUA